rnacentral:rRNA from 1 species
AUGCCCAGGGGACGUGGAUAACCUCGGGAAACUGAGGAUAAACCGCGAUAGGUCACUGCUUCUGGAAUGGGCAAUGACUUAAACCUAUAUGGCCCCUGGAUUGGACUGCGGCCGAUCAGGCUGUUGGUGAGGUAAUGGCCCACCAAACCUGUAACCGGUACGGGCUCUGAGAGGAGGAGCCCGGAGAUGGGCACUGAGACAAGGGCCCAGGCCCUAUGGGGCGCAGCAGGCGCGAAACCUCUGCAAUAGGCGAAAGCCUGACAGGGUUACUCUGAGUGACCUCCGUUAAGGAGGUCUUUUGGCAUCUCUAAAAAGGGUGCAGAAUAAGGGGUGGGCAAGUCUGGUGUCAGCCGCCGCGGUAAUACCAGCACCCCGAGUGGUCGGGACGUUUAUUGGGCCUAAAGCAUCCGUAGCCGGUUCUGCAAGUCUUCCGUUAAAUCCACCUGCUUAACAGAUGGGCUGCGGAAGAUACUACAGAGCUAGGAGGCGGGAGAGGCAAGCGGUACUCGAUGGGUAGGGGUAAAAUCCGUUGAUCCAUUGAAGACCACCAGUGGCGAAGGCGGCUUGCCAGAACGCGCUCGACGGUGAGGGAUGAAAGCUGGGGGAGCAAACCGGAUUAGAUACCCGGGUAGUCCCAGCUGUAAACGAUGCAGACUCGGUGAUGAGUUGGCUUCUUGCUAACUCAGUGCCGCAGGGAAGCCGUUAAGUUUGCCGCCUGGGGAGUACGGUCGCAAGACUGAAACUUAAAGGAAUUGGCGGGGGAGCACCACAAGGGGUGAAGCCUGCGGUUCAAUUGGAUUCAACGCCGGA